UAAUAUUAAUGAAUAAUAAUCCAAUUUGAUAAUAAUUCAAUUUAAUGAAUAAUAAUCCAAUUUGAUAAAAAAAAUCCUAAUAUAAAACAUGGUGAUGAAUAAUAAUCCAAUUUGAUAAUAAUAAUCCAAUUUGAUAAUAAUCCAAUUUAAUGAAUAAUCCACCAAUUUGAAAAAAAAAUUAUCCUAAAUUAAAACAUGGUGAUGAAUCAUAAUCCAAUUUGAUAAUAAUCCAAUUUAAUGAAUAAUCCACCAAUUUGAUAAAAAAAUUAUCCUAAAUUAAAACAUGGUGAUGAAUAAUAAUCCAAUUUGAUAAUAAUCCAAUUUAAUGAAUAAUCCACCAAUUUGAUAAAAAAAUUAUCCUCAAUUAAAACAUGGUGAUGAAUAAUAAUCCAAUUUGAUAAUAAUCCAAUUUAAUGAAUAAUCCACCAAUUUGAUAA
rnacentral:lncRNA from 1 species